CGGUUCCUGACAGACACCAGAUUGAAGAGAGAGUGGAUUUCAAAAAUUAGAAGAGACAUCGGUACAUUUUUCCAGCAAUGAACCUGCUGGAGAGACAGAAGAUGCAAGUGUAGACCUGGCUGAAGUUGACACUGGUGCAGACCAAGUUGUUAAGCCAGCACCCCACUCUGACCAUGACUAUGCUGAACUCUCGGUCACUGGAAGAGCAGCUAGAAGCAGCACGGAAGGAGAUCGCCCACCUUACGCAGGAGAAUACCAUCCUCAAGGCAUCCUGUUUCAACUUGAAGCAAAAAUGAUUCAUAGUUCUUGACAUUCUACACUGGAUUUCGGGUGAAUAAUUAUGAAACAUGAAGUCUUUUUCUACAGUGUUGUUACUAUAGUACUUUCUACAGUAUUAGCAAUACUUU